GAUGAACGCUGGCGGCGUGCCUAAUACAUGCAAGUCGAGCGAAUGGAUUAAGAGCUUGCUCUUAUGAAGUUAGCGGCGGACGGGUGAGUAACACGUGGGUAACCUGCCCAUAAGACUGGGAUAACUCCGGGAAACCGGGGCUAAUACCGGAUAACAUUUUGAACCGCAUGGUUCGAAAUUGAAAGGCGGCUUCGGCUGUCACUUAUGGAUGGACCCGCGUCGCAUUAGCUAGUUGGUGAGGUAACGGCUCACCAAGGCAACGAUGCGUAGCCGACCCGGGAGGGUGAUCGGCCACACUGGGACUGAGACACGGCCCAGACUCCUACGGGAGGCAGCAGUAGGGAAUCUUCCGCAAUGGACGAAAGUCUGACGGAGCAACGCCGCGGGAGUGAUGAAGGCUUUCGGGUCGUAAAACUCUGUUGUUAGGGAAGAGCAAGUGCUAGUUGAAUAAGCUGGCACCUUGACGGUACCUAACCAGAAAGCCACGGCUAACUACGUGCCAGCCGCCGCAGUAA
rnacentral:rRNA from 1 species